rnacentral:rRNA from 1 species
UACGAAGGGUGCAAACGUUGCUCGGAAUUACUGGGCGUAAAGGGCGCGUAGGCGGCCAUCUAAGUCAGACGUGAAAUCCCCCGGCUUAACCUGGGAACUGCGUCUGAUACUGGACGGCUCGAGUUUGGGAGAGGGAUGCAGAAUUCCAGGUGUAGCGGUGAAAUGCGUAGAUAUCUGGAGGAAUACCGGUGGCGAAGGCGGCAUCCUGGACUAACACUGACGCUGAGGCGCGAAAGCUAGGGGAGCAAACGGG